AGGCUCCCUAAUUGGGUAAAACUUUUAUCACACUGGGAACAUUGGAAAGGCUUUUCUCCUGUGUGUAUUCUUUCAUGUUCUUUUAGGUAACAUAACCACUUAAAACUCUUUACACAGUGGGGACACUGGUGUGGUCUCACUGGUUUGGGCGUCUCUAGGUCUUGUUCCCUGAAGUACUCUUCCUGCUGUCAGAGUGAGAGUGUGGUCUCUCUCCUGCCAAAGACAAACAGUGUAUUUAGGUAAAUACUAAACAGGGACCUGAAUAACACCUGCACAUGAUAAAACUGUAUUCCUCUGACGUUUAAUCCAGAAUAGAUCCCUCAAUAACCUGAGGUCAGCAUCUUAGGUUGUUUAAUCCAGAAUAGAUCCCUCAAUAACCUGAGGUCAGCAUCUUAGGUUGUUUAAUCCAGAAUAGAUCCCUCAAUAACCUGAGGUCAGCAUCUUAGGUUGUUUAAUCCAGAAUAGAUCCCUCAAUAACCUGAGGUCAGCAUCUUAGGUUGUUUAAUCCAGAAUAGAUCCCUCAAUAACCUGAGGUCAGCAUUUUAGGUGGUUUAAUCCAGAAUAGAUCCCUCAAUAACCUGAGGUCAACAUCUUAGGUUGUUUAAUCCAGAAUAGAUCCCUCAAUAACCUGAGGUCAGCAUCUUAGGUUGUUUAAUCCAGAAUAGAUCCCUCAAUAACCUGAGGUCAGCAUCUUAGGUUGUUUAAUCCAGAAUAGAUCCCUCAAUAACCUGAGGUCAGCAUUUUAGGUGGUUUAAUCCAGAAUAGAUCCCUCAAUAACCUGAGGUCAGCAUCUUAGGUUGUUUAAUCCAGAAUAGAUCCCUCAAUAACCUGAGGUCAGCAUCUUAGGUUGUUUAAUCCAGAAUAGAUCCCUCAAUAACCUGAGGUCAGCAUCUUAGGUUGUUUAAUCCAGAAUAGAUCCCUCAAUAACCUGAGGUCAGCAUUUUAGGUUGUUUAAUCCAGAAUAGAUCCCUCAAUAACCUGAGGUCAGCAUUUUAGGUUGUUUAAUCCAGAAUAGAUCCCUCAAUAACCUGAGGUCAGCAUCUUAGGUUGUUUAAUCCAGAAUAGAUCCCUCAAUAACCUGAGGUCAGCAUUUUAGGUUGUUUAAUCCAGAAUAGAUCCCUCAA